GACGAACGCUGGCGGCGUGCCUAAUACAUGCAAGUCGAACGCUGAAGGAGGAGCUUGCUCUUCUGGAUGAGUUGCGAACGGGUGAGUAACGCGUAGGUAACCUGCCUGGUAGCGGGGGAUAACUAUUGGAAACGAUAGCUAAUACCGCAUAACAGUAGAUGUUGCAUGACAUUUGCUUAAAAGGUGCAAUUGCACCACUACCAGAUGGACCUGCGUUGUAUUAGCUAGUUGGUGGGGUAACGGCUCACCAAGGCGACGAUACAUAGCCGACCUGAGAGGGGGAUCGGCCCCACUGGGACUGAGAACCGGCCCAGCCUCCUACGGGAGGCAGCAGUAGGGAAUCGUCGGCAAUGGACGGAAGUCUGACCGAGCAACGCCGCGUGAGGGAAGAAGGUUGUCGGAUCGUAAAGCUCGGUUGUAAGAGAAGAACGAGUGUGAGAGUGGAAAGUUCACACUGUGACGGUAUCUUACCAGAAAGGGACGGCUAACUACGUG
rnacentral:rRNA from 1 species